rnacentral:lncRNA from 1 species
AUUUCCUGUUCUCGUUGUCGAUUUGGGUUCUUAAAUUUCUGAUUUCUUCAUUAUCUAAUAUUGAAUCACUUAUUUGGGCUGAAAUUCGAAGUUGGAAUGAGGAUUGAAACCUAAAUCGACGAACAGCAGAAGCGAAAUUGGGGAAAUUGCUCCGAAUCGAAAUUUUGAGCUCGAAAUUGAUUGGGUAUGUUCUAAUCCUUCUGGUACAGCUUGGUUGAGGUGAAAUCUGAAGUUAGGGCUCGAUUACAGGUGAAUUCGAGUUGGUUGCUAGGGUUUUGGGUCAAAAAUUUGAACCGAUUGUGCGAAGAAGAAGACGACCUAGGGUUCGUCGAUUUUGACUGUUUGAACAAAUUGAUUUCGGAAUUCUAUUCGAGCUGUUUUGGAGAGUUUGUGGCUGGAGUUUGGGUCCAGUUGAAGACGUUUUGAGUGAGGUUUACCAGAAGAAUUUGACUCGAGCUUGAAUCAGUCGAAGAACACUUGUUUCGGUUGAAGAACUUCUCGAACUGAUUCGAGUCGAUUCGAGCACCUGGUAAAUCGAAGAAGAACAUUUGUAGGGCUGAUUCGAAUUGCUUGUAGGUUGAAGUAUUUUUGGAGUCGAUUCUUUCAAGAAGACGAAGAACAUCUGCCACUGAUUUGCAACUGAAAAAUUGCAGCUGUGUUCUCCAAUUUUCUAAGGACUCGUUUGCAAUUGAAUUAUCACCACGAACUUCAAUUCAUUCAUCGCAACGAUUCAGGUUUCAUUUCUGAGCUUAAACUUAGCUUGUUUCUGAAAGUUUAAGGAGAUAUUAGUUUGUUCUUUUGAAUUGACACCUGAAAAUUCAUCUUUGAAUUCUGAUUUCUGGGAAUUUGAGUUGAUUAUAUCUGUGCUUGAACCGAAAUUCGUCUUCGUAUCUACUGAUUGGAACGAAUAUGAGAAUGAUAAAUCACUUCAGAGUGUCCUGUUGCUAUAGUCGAAGUUUGAACUGUAUAUCUUCUGAAGUUCUGCUGAAAUUUUGCUCUUAUUGCUCGAAAACUUCGACUAGAUUUCUGAGUUGAGACUGAAUUGUUUGAGUUUUAACUGGUUGUUAGCUGUUGCAAGUUUGAAUAUCCAUCUUGUGUUGCGAUUUGAGAUUGAUUACUCGAAUUGUGAACUGAAAACUCAUUGAGUUGAAUUAUUGUGAACAACUAGAGGUUGUUGUUGGUUUAAACUGCUUCUUUGAAGCUCUUUUAAAGUGAAAUUUCUGUUUGACAGUAAUACUUUCUGCACUGCUUCAGCAAAUUUCAGCAUUGUUCCAACACAGUAAAACUUUCUGCACUUUUUUUGUGUGGUUAUUCUGGUUGAUAGCUGCUGUAGUUUAGUGUCUUGAUUCAAAAGAGCUGAAGCUUACGAUUGAAUUGAAGAGGCCUGCUCGAUAGUGAAUUGCUUCUCUGAUUACAUGAACUGAAACCAGACCCCACCUGGUGGGAAUAUAUUGGGUAGUUGUUGUAUUACAUGAACUGAAAACUGAAAAUUUCUGCACUGCUUCAUCAAUUUCUGCAUUGUUUCUCUUCUGUCAUCUGCUGAAGAUCUGUAGAAUUUUGAACUGAUUUGAGCACUGUGUUACUGCUGCAAAAGCUACUGUUUGGCCUGCAUUUUUUUGCACCAGUUGGACCAGCGUUUGCUGAAGGCUUGUUUGGUAGUUAAUGUGGUGGGAAGUUGACUUGAAUUUCUGGAAAUAAGUUGAGAACAUCAUAAGAGGAUUCAGAACUCACAGCCAGAUUUUGAAGGAAAAAAAGCUCAGUAUAGUGAUGUUGUCUGUCCAGUUUUGCAACAAUAACCUGUUGCUGCGAAUAUGACC